CUUUUGAUGCCGUGAAGUGCACUCACUGGGCAGAAGGGGGCAACGGUGCCUUAGCCCUGGCUCAGGCCGUCCAGAGAGCAGCACAAGCACCCAGCAGCUUCCAGCUCCUUUAUGACCUCAAGCUCCCAGUUGAGGAUAAAAUCAGGAUCAUUGCACAGAAGAUCUAUGGAGCAGAUGACAUUGAAUUACUUCCCGAAGCUCAACACAAAGCUGAAGUCUACACGAAGCAGGGCUUUGGGAAUCUCCCCAUCUGCAUGGCUAAAACACACUUGUCUUUGUCUCACAACCCAGAGCAAAAAGGUGUCCCUACAGGCUUCAUUCUGCCCAUUCGCGACAUCCGCGCCAGCGUUGGGGCUGGUUUUCUGUACCCCUUAGUAGGAACGAUGAGCACAAUGCCUGGACUCCCCACCCGGCCCUGUUUUUAUGAUAUUGAUUUGGACCCUGAAACACAACAGGUGAAUGGAUUAUUCUAAACAGACUUCCCUGAGGGGAGAGGGGAUAGGAAUGAGAGCUGGCAAUAACCAAUGAAUUGAAAUAUUUAUAUUUCAACACAUUUUUGGAAGAAGCGCAGCAUGGCUUGUCACAGGUUGACAGUGUAGGGGAGAAAACUGCUGUCCAAUAAACUACAGGAGAGGUUAGACUCCCUCUGCUGAAGCCCCAGGAGGCUUGGGGUUCAGAGUUGAUGACACAUUGCAGAUCAUCAUCCAUCUUCAAGAAGCUACCUUGAAAGUCUGGCCAGUGUCUAUUCAGGCCCACUGGGAGUUAGGAAGUAUAAGUAAGCCAAGAGAAGUCAGCCCCUGCCCAGAAGAUCUGAAACUAAUAGUAGGAGUUUCCCCAGAAGUCAUUUUCAGCCUUAAUUCUCAUCAUGUAUAAAUUAACAUAAAUCAUGCACGUCUGUUUACUUUAGUGACGCUCCACAG
rnacentral:sRNA from 1 species